AAAGGGAGACCUAAUUCGGGUAGGAGACGAAAAAAAAGUAGUCCCUACCAAGAAUCAAUCCCAAAAGGUCGGAGCGAGGCGAAAUUGGCUUUCAAACUAGGUUCUGGGUUCACACAAGACCUGAAUCAGGAACAAGGGCUAUUAGCUCAGGUGGUUAGAGCGCACCCCUGAUAAGGGUGAGGUCCCUGGUUCGAGUCCAGGAUGGCCCACCUGCACAGGUGGCAAAAACAAGAGAAGCGAGGAAUCAGCACCUUAUCUUACUUAUAUAGUAAGAGAGAAUGCUGGCUCUGAGUUCAGAGUCCAGAGGAACCUUGAAAACUGCAUAGAGCUAGGUGAAAAAGCCAAAAAAGAAGACCGUCAG
rnacentral:tRNA from 1 species